rnacentral:rRNA from 1 species
UGGGAGUGAGACUGCGGGCGACAAGGUUCGUAGUCGAGAGGGAAACAGCCCAGACCGCCGGCUAAGGUCCCGAAUGUAUGCUAAGUGUGAAAUGAUGUGCCAUGGCGAAGACAGCCAGGAGGUUGGCUUAGAAGCAGCCAUUCCUUAAAAGAGUGCGUAAUAGCUCACUGGUCGAGUCAUGACGCGCAGACAAUGUAACGGGGCUAAGCAUACAACCGAAGCCGCGGGUUCRGCAAGCAAAUGCUGGACGGUAGGGGAGCAUUCCACGGACUGAUGAAGGUGUACUGAAGGUAUGCUGGAGGGGGUGGAAGAGAGAAUGCAGGUAUAAGUAGACGAAAAGASGGGUGAGAUUCCCUCCGCCGAAAGCCUAAGGAUUCCUGGGUAAAGGUCAUCUGCCCAGGGUAAGUCGGCCCCUAAGGCGAGGACGAAAGUCGUAACCGAUGGGAAACUGGUUCAAAUUCCGUACCUUUCCCGGUAUUGAGGGAAUAACCCUUGAGGUGAACCCCGCCCGGCCAACGGUGCUCCGGUUCCAGCCGGCAGUUUAUGCACCCGGAUGGGCAAAGCCGUCUAGGAACGCGAACGGCGAGCGGAACUGCAGCUAAGCAAACCGAAGCGGUCGUAGUGCCCGGUGCCAAAAAAUAAUCUCAAAGGCCAGGCAGACCGAGACGGUACCGUAAACCGGUACGCGGGAGCAGGAUGAUCAAGCGCACGCGCUAACUCGAACUAACGAACUCGAACUCGGCACAUGUAACUUUAACUUAAGUGCGACUGGGACUGGUUUUGGUUAAGUUAUGGUUA